UAGUUUGGAAGAAAAUAUAUACAAAAAAAAAAAAAGAGGAAAAAAGAAAUGAUAAAAAAAAAAAAAAAAAAGUAUCAGCGGAUUUUUUUUUUUUUUUUUUUUUUUUUUUUUAUCUUUUGUUUUUGCUUUUCACC
rnacentral:ribozyme from 1 species